AGUGAACGCUGGCGGUAGGCCUAACACAUGCAAGUCGAACGGCAGCACAGUAAGAGCUUGCUCUUACGGGUGGCGAGUGGCGGACGGGUGAGGAAUACAUCGGAAUCUACUUUUUCGUGGGGGAUAACGUAGGGAAACUUACGCUAAUACCGCAUACGACCUACGGGUGAAAGCAGGGGAUCUUCGGACCUUGCGCGAUUGAAUGAGCCGAUGUCGGAUUAGCUAGUUGGCGGGGUAAAGGCCCACCAAGGCGACGAUCCGUAGCUGGUCUGAGAGGAUGAUCAGCCACACUGGAACUGAGGCACGGUCCAGACUCCUACGGGAGGCAGCAGUGGGGAAUAUUGGACAAUGGGCGCAAGCCUGAUCCAGCCAUACCGCGUGAGUGAAGAAGGCCUUCGGGUUGUAAAGCCCUUUUGUUGGGAAAGAAAAGCAGCAGGUUAAUACCCCGCUGUUCUGACGGUACCCAAAGAAUAAGCACCGGCUAACUUCGUG
rnacentral:rRNA from 1 species